UACGGGGGGGGCAAGCGUUGUUCGGAAUUACUGGGCGUAAAGGGCUCGUAGGCGGCCAACUAAGUCGGACGUGAAAUCCCUCGGCUUAACCGGGGAACUGCGUCCGAUACUGGAUGGCUUGAGUUCGGGAGAGGGAUGCGGAAUUCCAGGUGUAGCGGUGAAAUGCGUAGAUGAUCGGGAGGAACACCUGUGGGCGAAGGCGGCCGGCUGGGGGUACC
rnacentral:rRNA from 1 species